AAUCUUCCGCAAUGGACGAAAGUCUGACGGAGCAACGCCUCGUGAGUGAUGAAGGUCUUCGGAUCGUACAGCUCUGUCCUUGGGGAAGAAGGUCUUCGGACUUGACGGUACCUAAGGACGAAGCCCCGGCUAACUACGUGCCAGCAGCCGCGGUAAUACGCAGGGGGCAAGCGUUGUCCGGAAUUAUUGUGCGUAAAGGGUGCGUAGGCGGCCUUUUAAGUCAGAUGUGAAAGCCCACGGCUUAACCGUGGGACUGCAUUUGAAACUGGAGGGCUUGAGUAUCGGAGAGGGUAGUGGAAUUCCCAGUGUAGCGGUGGAAUGCGUAGAUAUUGGGAGGAACACCAGUGGCGAAGGCGACUACCUGGACGAAAACUGACGCUGAGGCACGAAAGCUAGGGGAGCAAACA
rnacentral:rRNA from 1 species